AUGUCAGAGGGGCCCCCUCCCGCGGCGAACGGCGGGGCCGUGCGCCAGAGGCGGAGGCGAUGGUGGGCGGCGGCGGCGGCCCUCCUCGUGGCGCUCCUCGCCGUGGCCGUGAGCUCCCGCAGCUUCCCCUCCAUUUCGUCCCUCUCGCGCGGCGGAGGCUGCGGCUGCCCCGGUGCCAGGAAGUACACGGGGAUGGUGGAGGACUGCUGCUGCGACUACGAGACGGUGGACGCCAUCAACGAGGAGGUGCUCAACCCGAUCCUACAGGACCUCGUCGCUCUGCCCUUCUUCAGGUACUUCAAGGUUAAGUUGUGGUGUGACUGCCCUUUUUGGCCUGAUGAUGGCAUGUGUCGGCUCAGGGACUGUAGUGUAUGCGAGUGCCCAGAUAAUGAAUUUCCCGAACCAUUCAAGAAGCCUUACAGUGGCCUUUCUCCUGAAAACAUGAUCUGUCAAGAAGGAAAACCAGAAGCCACGGUUGAUAGAACCCUCGACACCAAGGUUUUCAAAGGGUGGGUUGAAACCGAUAAUCCAUGGACAUCAGAUGAUGAGACGGAUAAUGCUGAGAUGACUUAUGUGAAUCUUCAACUUAAUCCUGAACGUUAUACUGGUUAUACUGGUGAUUCAGCUAGAAGGAUAUGGGACGCUAUCUACAAAGAAAAUUGCCCAAAAUAUCCUUCAGAAGAUAUGUGCCAGGAGAAGAAGGCACUUUACAAGCUAAUUUCAGGAUUGCACUCCUCAAUAUCUGUACAUAUUGCUUAUGAUUAUCUUCUUGAUGAAUCCGCUAACUUGUGGGGACAUAACCUUUCGUUGUUGCAUGACCGUGUUCUGAAGUACCCAGAGCGUGUCGAAAAUCUGUACUUCACAUACCUAUUUGUUCUUCGGGCAGUGACUAAGGCGGCAGAUUACCUUGAGCAGGCAGAGUACAACACUGGCAAUCCUGAAGAGGAUUUGAAAACACAAUCUUUAGUGAGGCAAUUGCUUUACAACCACAAGUUAAGAUCUGCAUGCCCAUUACCUUUUGAUGAAGCAAAACUCUGGCAAGGUGAAAAUGGCCCUGAGUUAAAGCAGGAGAUCCAGAAGCAGUUUAGAAAUAUCAGUGCAAUUAUGGACUGUGUUGGUUGUGAGAAGUGUCGAUUAUGGGGAAAGCUUCAAGUUCUUGGGCUUGGAACAGCGCUGAAGAUUCUUUUUUCUGUUGAUGGAGAGAACAAUUUGAAUCAACAGUUCCAGCUGCAGCGAAAUGAGGUCAUUGCACUGGUAAAUCUUCUGAAUAGGCUGUCAGAAUCUGUCAAGUUUGUACAUGAAACAGGAUCGUCCAGCCAGGAAAUCAUUAAACAACAGAGCUUUUCACCUUUGCAAAAGGGUGCUUCCUGA
rnacentral:rRNA from 1 species